rnacentral:lncRNA from 7 species
GGACCAGUGAUAUAAGAGCGAACACUUCUUGGCUGAGACUGAUAAUAAAACAGCCAUGCAUUAACAAGGAUGGAGAGUUUUGAAAAGCCAUACUAGAAGUGUGUGAUCCUUCACAUCCAUCUAUAAAUGUGUUCCAGUCUUAUGAUGCUUUAUUUGGAGUCCUUUUUUUUAAAUGGAGCAUAUAUCACACAGUAGAAUAAAAAUCAAAGAGCAUGUGAGGAAGCAAUGAAUAAAGCCACAAAGGACUUAUAGCCAAACUAACAAGCAGAGCUGGGAAUAUCAAGAUGAUGGUGAUCUGGGUCUGAACGUCCAUGACUACUUGAGAUUGCUCAAUCUUAACCUUUUAACAUCUAUGUCUCUUUUCUUCUUUUCUGUUAAUAUCGUUUUAUUUUUCCUCCAUUCUUGAAAAAAAACUUCAGGAGCAUAACUUAUCAAAAAGGCAUUUUACAUUACUCAAGUUAUAAAUUUCAUCCAGGUUUUUCUCUUUCCUGCACUUCAUAAAGUGAAAUAAAUGAAGCAUACACCAGGACCCAUCAAAUUCUGACUAGAUCAAAUUGAUCUCCAGACAUAGGCUCAAUUAUUGUUAAAAUGGAUUUUCUUAUUAGAAAAUGGCACAUAGUGUUUACAUUUCUCCUUCUGCUCUUACUGACUUCUCCAAUUUAUACUGAAGAUUAGGGUAUGUAAAUAUGAAUAGUCCCAUCAGAAAUGUUUUCCAUGUAAUUUAUUUACAUAGCACUGAUAAAGUAAUGCUGAAAUUCAUUUGAACAGUCAUUAAUACUCUAUUCCAGUGUUUUGUUUUGUUUUCCUUAUUUUUGUUUUGUUGUUUUUUUUAUUUGCUUGGUAAAGGAAUUGUAGUGCCAAAUUUGUAAUUCUGGAAAUGAUACUCUUUACUGUUUAGAAGCAUCCAUGUUACCAACAGUAGUAUUGUUUUCUCUAAGACAUUGGCUUGGCUGUAGGAUUUAUUUAUCUGGCCAGAUAUUUUUGUCAUCGUACCCAGAACUCCACACAUGUAAGAAGUUGUUUUAAAAUGAAGUCAGUCCAUGCAAGUCUGAAUAAAGAUCUCAACCACUCUAC